GGUUUGAAGUUCAAACUCAAGCUUUAACAAGCUUCUCGUUAUUAUCUCCAAUGGUCAUACAAUAGUGCUGUAUGAGACACGGCUUGAUACCUAUUCAACGACCCUAGACAUCUUUUUUAUUCCAGCAAAAAAAAAAAAAAAAAAAAAAAAAGAAAAAGAAUGGGAGUGUCUCAAUUCGAUGUCAAAUAUGUUUUCUUUAUAAUUUUACUUUCGCAUUCCAGAAAAAAAUUUAAAAAAAUUGUUUAUAACACAUCAGAACCAGGUAAAGGUUUUACGGAGAGGUUUAAUUUAAAAUAAAAUAAAAAUACGAGGUCCUGAAUAGUUUCCUUUCCUUCCUCCUAAGCCUCCGAGGCUUCACUCCCUAAGUCCCAGGCGGCCAAGCCUAGUUUGCAAUCACCGGCGGUCGAUCUCCGACAAUGUUAAAUCACCGGCAGGGCCAAGAGAACCUGGUGGUGCUGUUGAUCUCAUAACUUAUUACAAGCUUUGGUCUCAUUUUCCCUUUUUUUUGCAAGAGGUCACUCCCUCUCACUGUAUCUGACAGUGACAUCCAAAAGGGAAGGCAUGGAGUUGGAUCAGCUUCUUCAAAAUGCCUCCCAUUUGAGAGAAAGAAAUGCAUGUAUAUACCAUUUUGAUUUGGAUCUACCAAGGGAUGCUUUUCAUAUGAGGGAGACAACUCCUGUUAACCAGCCUUUUAAACGAUAUUGUAAUUUCUGUAUGCAUUGACAGACAGAGAAGGGCAUCUCCACUGCAACAGCAAAGUUAAAAAGUGACUUUAAAGACAGAGAGAAGGGGCAUAGAAAACACAAAGACCAGCACAGUUAGAAGGAUCGUAAGAAGAAGACACUGUUACAAGGGCAAGAGCAGUGUUAAGGGUAAGAAUAUAAAUGAUGCUCAUGGAUUUAGCCUCGAGGACUUGGAGAAACAGCAGGAGAUGGUUUGCACACCAUCUUUUCUUGUUGCCCUCUGUUGAUUGUACGUCCUAAAUUUUGUUGCCAUAUGUUGGUUGCAUGAUUACGGUUUUUCUUUUUUCUUUUUUCCUUUUUUUAUGAAAGCAUUGUUAAUAUGCUAAGAACUUGCCGGAUGACUAUUAACUUGGAUGUCCAUUUGAGUGUUGUA